rnacentral:rRNA from 1 species
AAAUUGAAGAGUUUGAUCAUGGCUCAGAUUGAACGCUGGCGGCAGGCCUAACACAUGCAAGUCGAACGGUAGCACAGAGAGCUUGCUCUUGGGUGACGAGUGGCGGACGGGUGAGUAAUGUCUGGGAAACUGCCUGAUGGAGGGGGGUAACUACUGGAAACGGUGGCUAAUACCGCAUAAUGUCGCAAGACCAAAGAGGGGGACCUUCGGGCCUCUUGCCAUCAGAUGUGCCCAGAUGGGAUUAGCUUGUUGGUGAGGUAACGGCUCACCAAGGCGACGAUCCCUAGCUGGUCUGAGAGGAUGACCAGCCACACUGGAACUGAGACACGGUCCAGACUCCUACGGGAGGCAGCAGUGGGGAAUAUUGCACAAUGGGCGCAAGCCUGAUGCAGCCAUGCCGCGUGUAUGAAGAAGGCCUUCGGGUUGUAAAGUACUUUCAGCGGGGAGGAAGGUGUUG